rnacentral:rRNA from 1 species
UUUUUCAAAAACAUCUUUUCUUGUUAGUUUCUGAAGUAUGGCCUGCCCGCUGACAUAAUUGUUGAAGGGCCGCGGUAUUUUGACCGUGCAAAGGUAGCAUAAUCAUUAGUUCUUUAAUUGUGAUCUGGUAUGAAUGGCUUGACGAGACAUGAGCUGUCUUAGUGGUAUUAUUUAUUGAAUUUAGUUUUUGAGUUAAAAUACUUAAAUGUUUUUAUGGGACGAGAAGACCCUAUAGAGUUUUACAUUUAUUUUUGUUGAUGUUUAUUUGUUUGUUUUGUUUUUAUUAAUUUUUUAGAUGUUUUGUUGGGGUGAUGGGAGGAAUUUUUUUAACUCCUCUUUAUUUUGUUAUAUUGAUUUAUAUUUCUUUUGAUCCAUAUAUUUUGAUUAUAAGAUUAAAUUACCUUAGGGAUAACAGCGUUAUCUUCCUUGAGAGUUCUUAUUGGCGGGAAGGUUUGCGACCUCGAUGUUGGAUUAAGGUGAAUUUUCGGUGCAGGAGCUGAAAGUGAUUAGGUCUGUUCGACCUUUAAAAUCUUACGUGAUC